GGCUGGUUAGCUCAGUUGGUUAGAGUGCUGUGCUGAUAACACCGAAGUCUAGGGUUCAAUCCCCAUACUGGCCA